CAGGUGAGCACCGGCCGCUAGCGCGCUGAAUUCGGCUGCCGUCAGCGAGCAGCGCGUACCAUAUGGUACGAGUGCCCCGGCAGCUCCCUGUUGGCGAGAGGCGGAGUGUAACUGCUGAGCGUCGCUGCCAGGGGGUGACGACGAUGGCGCCUGUCGCCGCGCUCUGCC